UACAAUAAUCGUAACAACUUCGUCAAUUAAAUAUAUCUACAUAUCUAACAAGCCAUCCAAAAUUUUGAUUUGGAAUAUUAAGAAAUUUGAAGAAUCGUCAUUACAGCAUAUCAAUCCGAGAGAAAAAAAUAGAAAACGUAACUUUAAAUUUUAGUAAAAAUAUCACUUCUCCUAAAAUAAAUCAUCACUACCAUUAAAGAUGAAAGAUGGAUGGAGUAGAAAACAGGUCAUCCUUUUUCUUGUCACGAAUCUUGUACUGUGUCUAUAAAAGGGGCUGCAGAAGUAAAAAUAUCAAAACAAAAUUACAGUAAUUGUAUAUGAAUUAAUUGCAAGUAUAGUACUUGGAUUACUCUUCAUUGCCUCUUUAAUCAUCAAUAUAAUCGGAUUUUGGUAUUUCACCAGGAGAAGUAAAUUAAAUAAACACUCAAAAAGUGAAGUGAACCAUUUCACGCAAUCAAAUAAUGAACAUGAAUACGAGUACAUAUUGGAAUCAACUGCGUUUCAUCGAGGUCAUUAAUUUACACAUAAAUAAAUUAUUUUGUCACUUUAUGUAAA